rnacentral:tRNA from 1 species
GGGGUUGUGGCUCAGUGGUAGAGCAUUCACCUAGCACGUGUGAGGCACUGGGUUCGAUCCUCAGAACCACA